GUAAACUUAAUCCAAUUCAGUUCUGAUUUGUGCGGCAGUCCAGUCCUUCAAAUCAACAUGUUUAAUAACAGCAUGAAACUCAGAUCUCUCCAUCUGCAGUUGCAGUCGACAGACUGAACAAUACAGAUGGCUGUCAACAUUUCAACAAUGAACUAGAUGCUUGACUUUGUUGAAAUUGUUUACAUGAUACUUUGAAUAAUCAAACGUAUCAGCCAUGGAGGCUCAACAAAAAUGUUCCAUUCUUCAUGAAAUUUACCAGACUUACGAAACCAUCCUCGUAAUGUAAUCAGAAGAAAAUGGUUUGGAUACUCACUCUAGCCUCGGUAAGAUCUCUCUCAAAUUUCAGUAAGGAAUCUGAAAAUAUCUUGUUGCCUCCAUAUUUUUCGUGUAGGGAUCAUGAGGAUAUAAUUACGUUACUCACAAUACAUAGAAUGCCAUAUAAACAGUCGUGCUUCCCCUGAACUUCUUCUUAAUCGAAUGGAAGGAGACCAUAAUGGUAGAAGCAAGAGUAUCCGGAGCCAUCAGUUAAGUGAUUUGUAGGGUAUUCAAGCAAUUUUGCAGAUAAUGUUUCAUAAAAGUUCUGAAAAUUCUUUGUUUUGCAGACAGGCUGCAGUCUUUUGCAUACUAUCAACGAACCAAUGCCUCCCAUUGUUAAUAUCCCCUACAAAACUUGCAUAAUUCCGUGUACUCAUCCUGUAAUUGUCGCUCCUAGGUAUUAUUUUGUUUGUUACGUCUAAUUGCAGGUCCAAUUAGACACUGUGAACAGCAUUUAUAAAUUUAGCGAAACGUUUAGCAUUUCAUGCUUCGUCCUUUUUUUGCACAUUCCUCGUGGGUGCUGUAUGGUAAUGUGUUAUUCGAGAGCCAUAUAUUUUUCAUUUAUCGUUCAACUUCAUUUGUUUUCACGUCCAUGCAUUAACAUACUGUCCCGUUGUUUCUUCCUCAACAGUUUCUGUACUUACUACCCGAAGGGAACUUUAUUUCAGUCCCCCAUUUCGAAAAAAAUAUUUUCCUUGCUUACAGCAAAGCGAUGUUCUUUAAAACAUCGGUGCAUCUGCUGUUUCUCUUACAGAGCAUUAAAAAGUGAAAUGUAGUUACUAAGGUGCUGAUGAAUAACCACAUUUCUAGACACCGUAAUUUCUAAGCUCUUUCAUCUAUUAAUGUCUCAGUUUUAUUUAAUUAGCCAGAUGCGAUUUCGCUUUACUAAUUCGCCCUUACGUUACAGGUGUCAAGAGUGGAUUCUGCGUUGUGGAAACUAUUCGUUGUUUGAUUUGCAGCAGAGUCAGGUGCGUAAUAAAUUCCUAUGUGCUCUUCACUUCACUGACAAUUCUUUUAUGAAUGAGUUGAAAACAAAACAAGUAUUUAACGCCUUGCCAAAUCCAGAACCUCUGGAAGAGGCUGCAGACGUAGAAAACGAAGACAACAGUAGACAACACAGCGUUUACGAAAUGCACCAACAAGGAAGCUGUUCGCCACCUGCCCGUGAGCCAGUCCAUAGUUCGCCAGAUACGUUGGUGCCAACAGAUUUAACACCAUGAAAACGACAGUUGACACAAAGAAUUAACGAGCAAAAGUUAAAAUUGGCAAAGCAGAGGGAAAAAAAACUGUGGAGAAUGUGACAUCUUGCCAUGAAGAAGCCUGAUCUAAAAGCUGUGGCAACAGCCUGUUAAGCAUAUGUCUCCAAAAUGUGGAACAUUAUUUGGUAUGCAGCUGCUGCACAAGCCUUUCACUCCUUGGACGGAAGAGGAGAGACAACUGUCGUUGAGCUUAUUUUAUAAACGUCCUGCCGCAUAUGAAGUUGGAAUGAAACUACCUUCGAAAAAAAUUAUUCAGAAGUGGGUCAGUGAAAUGGAUAUUAUAGCGGGCACAGAAACUAAACAAUUCGAACAUCUUGUAGAAAAAGUGAAGACGAUGGAUGAAAGUUGCCAAGGUUGUGUAUUGGUGUUCGACGAAAUGAGUGUGAGGAAGUGUCUCAGUUACUGCGCUAAGUAUGAUAUCAUUGAGGGCUAUGAAGAUUUUGGCAGCCUAAGACGUACGUCUAAGGUGACAACACAGUCUCUCAUGUUCCUUGUUCGUGGGCUGCCGCAAAAAUGGAAAUUACCUGUUGCCUUUUUUACGUCUUGUAAACAGACCAAAUCUGAUGUAAUGAAACAGUUGCUCUUCGUUGUAUUAGAGAAACUUUUUACUCUUGGCUUAAAGGUUUGUUGCAUUGUUUGUGACUAAGGGUCCAAUAACCGUUCAUUAGUGCGUGAUCUUGGUGUUACAAAUGAAAAAACUUUCUUUAAUUAUCGCAACAAUGUUUUAUACAUUAUGUGUGAUCUCCUGAAACGCAUUCGAAACCGUUUGCUGGAGAGAGAUAUCCAAACUGAUUCGAAUGAUAUUGUGUCUUGUCAAGACAUUAUCAAAAAGUAUCAACUUGAUAGGAAGGGCGGCAAGGGAAGAAUGUGCUGCUCUCUCAGUCACAAACACGUCAGUUCAAAUAAUUUUGAAAAAAUGAGUGUUCGAUUUGCAACACAGGUGUUCAGUCAUUCCGUCUCGGCCACUAUUCUGUCAGCGUAUUCCACGUCGGAGCUUCAGAGGAAAACAGCGAUGAAUACAGCUUUCUUUCUGGCAAGACUGAACAAUUUGUUCGACGCAAUGAAUAGCAAGACCCUCUGAUUCGAAACCAUUCGUCUGUGCUCUAAGCACUCAAAAAAGGUGGUUAGAGGGUUAUCUACAGGACUCCGUGGAUUGGUUAAAAACAUGGAAAACUGUGAGAUUCCUCCAUGUUUUACGGGCCUUCAGCACACAAUUCGUGCUUUGUUGACGCUGUGGAAUGACAAGGAAAGCGAUGGCUAUGAGUUCUUCUUAACAUCGCGGGUGAACCAAGAUCCCAUAGAAAAUGUAUUUUCAGUAAUCCGCCAACGAUCAGGAAUUCUGCAGAAACUUGCAGCACAUCACUAAUGAAACCUGUUGAUUCGGCGAACUGUCAACUCGACGAGGACCAUUCUGUGCUGGAAGGCAACGAUUGUAUGACCUCUUCGGCAAUUAACGUUAGCACGAAUGGAGACUGCGAAAAACAUGUUUCGAAAUAAGCUGCACACGAAGCACAUGAGCUUGUGCACGGUGCUGAAUUAGAGUGACGGAGUCGGCCAGCGUCAAAAAAUUUAAUUGUGACGUUUGUGUGUCGGAAAUGCUUAAAGGCAACAAGACUGUGGAAAGUGCGGAUGAACUCUUAUAUACUUUACAAAGCUUAUGAAACGUCCGCGGGAGACUUGGGCGAAUUAAGAGCGCCUUCAGAAAAUCUGACUGCCGUAGUUAGAUUUAAUAUAAAAGUGUUCAACGACGUGUUCAAAACUGUCCAUUACCAGUUUGGCGUAUACUGCAGCCUUGUGAAUUCAAUGAAGAGGGGCAAUGAACGUUUGUAUCCUCGAUGGCUUCAGCUUGAUCCGUGCUCAAUGCAUCGAAAGUAUAUCUUAGAAAUGCUGUGUAAAGUACGGCUGCAGAAGGAGCUACUUUGGAUUUCAAACGAAAUGUAUCCAGCAAAAGACUCAAAAGCAUCCAAACUUCGCGGGGUAAAUAAACAAAUUCAGACCAUAACUUUGUUAUUGCAAAGCUACAGUUUAAUUUUACCCUACUAUGUAUUAUAUUUUACUGUGUUUAUUUUCUGUCUGCGGUUUGCUUAUUUAUGAACCACUGUGUCUGUCCAACACGUCUGUUAACUCUUUUAAUUUCCUUUAUUUCAUGAGAACAGUUAUAUUUAAUACCAUAUCCAUCACAUGAUUUAGAUUAGAUCUGAUGGAUUUUUCGUGGAAGCUCCGAUUUUUCCUCACAAGAUGUUCUGGGCGCAAAAGAAUUUUAUAUCUAUGGAUAACAUGUAUUAAUCGAUGUCACUUUCUAUGUGAUGUGAUGAAAUAGAUCUUCCUCUUAAUCACAA